rnacentral:lncRNA from 1 species
UCAGAACCUACCUUAAAUUCAUGAGCUUUCGUGAGUUGAAAGGUAUGCUCAUUAUCUUAUUCUUGUUAACUUACAAUCUAUUCAUUUGUUUAUAUUAUUUGAUUUUCUUAAAUGCAUAUAUUUCUAUUAUAUGCUCAUUUUUUUUCACUUAUUUUUUGUAGGUAUAAUGCAAAUGGAGAUCUUUUGGAGAGAAGAAAUGGAUACAAAUGGAGAAUAUUAAAGACUUACAUUUUAAUUAUGUGUUAAUUUCAAAACUUAUGUAUUGUUUUUAAUUAUGUAGUGAUUCAAUACUUUAAUUCGAUUAAUACUUUAAUUCAGGUAAUUCGAGUAA